rnacentral:snoRNA from 1 species
CCUCUCACUGACGAUGACAUGGUGUCCUACAUCCUGGCGGGGCUCGAUUUCGACUACAUGCCGUUCGUCUCCACCAUCUGCGCCCGAACUGAAUCCAUCAAGGUGAGC